rnacentral:rRNA from 1 species
GUAAUUGAUAAUCCACGAUUAUAUAUACUUAUUAUUAUUAAUUUACAUAUCGUCGUAGUUAGAAUAUUUUAAUAGAAUUAUAAUGUUCAAGAAUUUUUAUUAAAAAGUAAAUCAGAUCAAGGUGUAGUUUAUAUAUAAGUAGAGAUGGGUUACAUUAAAUUUAUUUUUGGGAUAAUUUUUUUAAAAGAAUUUUGAAUUUGGAUUUGAAAGUAAUUUUUUGA